GGGCUGAUGGUUGGACAGGAUGAUCCCAGUGGUCUUUUCCAACCUUAAUGAUUCUAUGAAAUGUCUGCAAAAGGCGGAAACAGCUAAAAAUCUGUGUAUAGCUAGCGCUCUCAAACCAAAAAAGAAAAGUUUUGUGGCAAAUGCCCUUCGGAUCUGGGAUCUGGCAGUAGGGUGAUGUUGCUGGGCUGCGGGCAGGGAAGCACGGGCAGCUCCCCUCCCCAGUGACUGCUCACGUGUUUCUUCUCACACAGCCUUUGAGAGGCAGGGAGCGGGUGAGCUGUCUGAACAUGAACGAUCCCGCUGCCUCCAUGGGGUUUGGCCGCUGUUCUUUCUCUUCUCUUCCUACCUCUUCACCACCUGCUUUGCAUGAAGCAGGUUGUCGCCUCCGUGUCUCCUCUAAACCGUGCUGUUAUUAUGUGCGCUUUUGAAGUGUGAUGGGAUCCAUCCAAAGUGAGGACUAGUGCCCAGUGGUGGCACGGGUCAGCUGCUGGGGUGGGCACAGGCUUGUGGGUAGCAAGGACUUAGUGGAAGGUGUGGGAACUUUGCCAGCAAGGUGACUGGUGAACGAAGCACGUGAUGGGCAACUUAAAGGCAGGAGAGAUAAGUUAAAUGGCUGCAUCUUCCACCCACUGCAUAGUUCCCACUGAUGUUAAAAGAAACUGCAUGACUAAAUACUCUGUGCUGUGUGGAAAAGUUAUCCUGAAGGAACUAAUGAAAGCCACAAAAGCUGUCUGUGGGAUCUUGCUCUUUUGUUGCAGCCUGGUAGAUAACACAUGUUCCUGUCCAGUGCUUUCUGCAACAUUCAGUAUAAUGGCAGCUCUGCUCAGCAGAUGAAUUUCCUUUACUUUGGUGUGAAGCCUAAUCCUUCACAGUAGGCAGGGACAGGUUCACAAGGCUAUAUGCCAUGUAUUUUAGCUGUUUCUUGGUUUGUAGUCUCGGGGUGAGACCUCAUAGUGCACAAACCUCGUGUCUUAGCUCUAGCUUUAGUUGCACACAAAGUAGCUAUUGUUCUUUCCUAACACAGCACUGUCACUGCACUGUCUGCAUUUCAUCUUUUUUCUUAACUUACACAGUAGGAAACCUGGUAUUGUUUAGACAAAGAGGAAGAUGUAUUACUUUAAUUAUGCCUGCAUGCCAUAUGGAUUUCUUGAGGUGUAUACAGCUCCUUGCUUUAUGUUAAUCACAGGAUAGCAUGGCUCUGCCAAGUCGGAUCUGUUCAGGCUUGCAUGAGCUAGAGAGCUUACUAACCUGACACCAAGAAUUUAUGUGAUGUUGGCAUUGUGCUUUUGUUCUGUGCGGAGCAUUAAGCACCCCAAACUCCUGCAGCACUCAUUGGGGCCAUCAGUGCAGCUCUUCCCAAAGCAGCUGGCUUGCAAACACAGGUUUUUGACUACUCUCUGCUUUCCUAUAUUCCAGCACUUGGCAGGAAAAACUGCUCUUCCAGAUGACUUCACAUUUCUUCCUUUCUGUCAAGUCAUUCGCAUAUUCCCAUACAGAUUUAAGAUAUAGGUAGGAAUAGGUUGUCCAGAGAGGCGGUGGAUGCCCCAUCCCUGGAGACACUCAAGGUCAGGCUGGAUUGGACUCCGAGCAACCCGAUGUAGCUGUAGAUGUCCCUGUUCAUUGCAGGGGAGUUGGGCUACAUGGUCUUUCAAGUUUCUGACUCAUGCAAUCCUAUGAUUCUGUAUCCCUGUGUGCUAGGGCACAGGCUGUCCACACAACAUCUCUCCUGAGUUCUUUUUCCCUGGGAGAGGUUCCUUCUCAAGCUGUGUGGGUUGGUUUAUUUCUCCUAUGCUAGGAGAUUCCUACCGUGAGCAACAGUGGUGUAUAUCCUGCCCAUUCUCCAGCAAAGUGGAGCAGGCUGCAGUUUUCUCCCUUUCCAAUAUCAGGUGCAUGUUACAACUGGCCCUGUGGUAUCUUUAGAGAGAAGUUUCUGAGAGUGUCAAGCUGGAGCCUAUUUUAAAUAAAUAAAUAAAUAUUUUUUAAUUAUGCCUGUUGUUUUGAGGGAGAACUUUCUCAAAGGAGACGCUGUGAAGAUCAAAAGAGAUGAGUGAGUCAAUGGAAAACUGGAGUAUUUUUGAGAUAAAAAGAAUGUUUAAGUCCAUUUUGGGGUGGAGGGGAGUUAUGUGAAGGAGAAAUCUUACCUAUCACAUAGACAGAACCUGAGCGGCCCAAAAAGGCUUGACUUGUCUUGAAAUUUCCACUUAGCAUAAAACACAUUUUUGACCAGUGCGAAAUAAUUAAGACAAAGGAAAAUUCCUUGCCUAUCUGUUUGCUCGAUGAUUGGUAUGCCUUUGAGAGCAAAUGAAUGCAUAUUUGUUUGACACUUCAAAUUAAAGUGGAGGUGUGUUUUCCUUUUUCUAAACUUGCUGUCACUUGUUUAGUUCAUUUCAGCUGCCUUCACUGCGUCACUGCACAAACUUGCUGUAUCUGCUCAUUGCCAAAAAGAAUUCCCUGUGUGGGUUUAGUGUGUGUGUUUUUAAGCCUUUUGUGCCUCAGUCCUUGUUGGCAGGGUCAGUGCAACUGUAAUAUCUGGAGGAGCAAUUCUCUUGCACUUGUUGGGCCCAUGUUCUGAAAACAGGUACUCAGAACACUUGGACAUAACUGGCAAGAUGCUGUUACAUAGGGAGAGGGGAUGGGUGAGAGCAGUAAUUGUGUUAACCUGUAGUUUGCACUAGCUACUUUUUGACUGGUUUUAAAUUGCACUAAAUUGUCUGGCGGUUGUAUUUGCCGUGUAAUGGGUUAACAUGCUGCUGCUUGCAAAAAGCUGCUUGCUUUUAUUUUAUUUUGUUUAGCUUAACCUUAAAGAAAAGCCUACAACAGCGUAAUGCUUCCAGCAUUGUUUUCUUAGCUCGGCACUUCUGAAUGGUAGCUCGCUAUGUUGUUUUUUUGAGUCACUGCAUUACAUCUCUCUCUUUUUACUGAAGAGGUUUUGUAAACUCCUCUGAAGUCUGAUGGUAACAUGCACAAUUCUCUCUCCUCCUCCUCCAUCUUCUGCAGAUUUCUGAUUUUGGACUUGCGAAGUGCAAUGGUUUGUCACAUUCCCAUGACCUCAGUAUGGACGGCUUGUGUGGCACAAUUGCAUACCUUCCUCCAGAGCGCAUCAAGGAGAAGAACAGGUGUUUUGACACCAAACAUGAUGUGUACAGCUUUUCCAUUGUGAUCUGGGGAGUUCUUACACAGAAGAAGCCUUUUGCAGGUAAGUUUGAUGUAUUGUGGUUUGCACUGGAUUUUCUUAUGCCUUUCUUUCAAUGAUAUGCACACUUCCCUCCUCACCAGCCUCAUAAGACAAGUGAUAUAUAUAAUUCAUGUCCUCCAAAUUCCUGCAGCCCUGUGCAAUAGGCAUAUGUAAACUCUCAAAUUCCAAGCACAAUUUCAAGUUCUCCUUUGUCCUCCAUCCUAAAAGCAGAAUGUAUAUUGCCAUGAGAUGCCUUCAUCUGCACUGUUUUUGUGGAGUUUGCUGUGCUGAUCCAGAUCAGUGUGUGGCCUGCUCAGACUUCUAAUAGAUGUUCAUGGCCAGCAAGGAAGGUGCAGGGCAAACCCCGUUGUUUUCAGAAAGAGCUUCUCUGCAGAGUGGUUCUGGAGUUUAUUUGUAGAUUGCAGGUACAGAUUAAAAAAAUAAAAAUAAAAAAGCUGCCUGUGAGAGUAAGCUUUGUUCUGCCCCACAGUAAAUGUAUGAAAUCUACAGGCAGUUAUUUAUUCUUUAUGACUAUUUUCCUUUGUAUGCGACUAGCCUAAGUAUAGCAAACAUGUUUGAGCGGGUUCCAGUCUGCUACUCAUUUUUCUCCUAGUGAACUCAGUGGUUGACUUCAGAGUCAAGAGCCACAUUACUGCACUGUGUUUUUUCUUCACCUUUAUGUAAAGUUCAGGCACUUGGCUUAUGUAAAAACUGUGGUUCAGUUUUCACACAGCAGAUACAAAAAACCAGAGAGAGGUAGCAAAGAACUGUGAGGUGUUUUUGUAUUUCAUUCUCUGUUUCUGCCUCUUUUAUGGGUGGAAAGAGCACAUAGUCACUCACUGAUGAUUAACUGAUACAUGAGAAGUAGACGUUAAUGUGUUGCUGGAAGUGUUGUGGAAGAAUAAGACCAAUUUCUCUUUUUUUUUCCUGUUGAUAAAGUGCUCUAGAUCUUUAAAAA